GGAAGCUUGGCAGAGUGGUCGAUUGCACCGGUCUUGAAAACCGGUGCUUUUCAAGGAGAAGCUAGCGUUUACGCGGGUCAGCGGGGCAUCGUCUCCGCAACUUCUG
rnacentral:tRNA from 1 species